rnacentral:rRNA from 1 species
CACGGAUCCAGACUUUGAUYYYCGCUCAGAUUGAACGCUGGCGGCAGGCCUAACACAUGCMAKUCGAACGGUAACAGGAAACAGCUUGCUGUUUCGCUGACGAGUGGCGGACGGGUGAGUAAUGUCUGGGAAACUGCCUGAUGAAGGGGGAUAACUACUGGAAACGGUAGCUAAUACCGCAUAACGUCGCAAGACCAAAGAGGGGGACCCUCGGGCCUCUUGCCAUCGGACGUGCCCAGAUGGGAUUAGCUUGUUGGUGGGGUAACGGCUCACCAAGGCGACGAUCCCUAGCUGGUCUGAGAGGAUGACCAGCCACACUGGAACUGAGACACGGUCCAGACUCCUACGGGAGGCAGCAGUGGGGAAUAUUGCACAAUGGGCGCAAGCCUGAUGCAGCCAUGCCGCGUGUAUGAAGAAGGCCUUCGGGUUGUAAAGUACUUUCAGCGGGGAGGAAGGGAGUAAAGUUAAUACCUUUGCUCAUUGACGUUACCCGCAGAAGAAGCACCGGCUAACUCCGUGCCAGCAGCCGCGGUAAUACGGAGGGUGCAAGCGUUAAUCGGAAUUACUGGGCGUAAAGCGCACGCAGGCGGUUUGUUAAGUCAGAUGUGAAAUCCCCGGGCUCAACCUGGGAACUGCAUCUGAUACUGGCAAGCUUGAGUCUCGUAGAGGGGGGUAGAAUUCCAGGUGUAGCGGUGAAAUGCGUAGAGAUCUGGAGGAAUACCGGUGGCGAAAGCGGCCCCCUGGACGAAGACUGACGCUCAGUGCGAAAGCGUGGGGAGCAAACAGGAUUAGAUACCUUGGUAGUCCACGCUGUAAACGAUGUCGACUUGGAGGUUGUGCCCUUGAGGCGUGGCUUCCGGAGCUAACGCGUUAAGUCGACCGCCUGGGGAGUACGGCCGCAAGGUUAAAACUCAAAUGAAUUGACGGGGGCCCGCACAAGCGGUGGAGCAUGUGGUUUAAUUCGAUGCAACGCGAAGAACCUUACCUGGUCUUGACAUCCACGGAAGUUUUCAGAGAUGAGAAUGUGCCUUCGGGAACCGUGAGACAGGUGCUGCAUGGCUGUCGUCAGCUCGUGUUGUGAAAUGUUGGGUUAAGUCCCGCAACGGGCGCAACCCUUAUCCUUUGUUGCCAGCGGUCCGGCCGGGAACUCAAAGGAGACUGCCAGUGAUAAACUGGAGGAAGGUGGGGAUGACGUCAAGUCAUCAUGGCCCUUACGACCAGGGCUACACACGUGCUACAAUGGCGCAUACAAAGAGAAGCGACCUCGCGAGAGCAAGCGGACCUCAUAAAGUGCGUCGUAGUCCGGAUUGGAGUCUGCAACUCGACUCCAUGAAGUCGGAAUCGCUAGUAAUCGUGGAUCAGAAUGCCACGGUGAAUACGUUCCCGGGCCUUGUACACACCGCCCGUCACACCAUGGGAGUGGGUUGCAAAAGAAGUAGGUAGCUUAACCUUCGGGAGGGCGCUUACCACUUUGUGAUUCAUGACUGGGGUGAAGUCGUAACAAGCUAGCCGUAAGCUUCAC